GGAAUAUUGCACAAUGGGGGAAACCCUGAUGCAGCGACGCCGCGUGAGUGAAGAAGUAUUUCGGUAUGUAAAGCUCUAUCAGCAGGGAAGAAAAUGACGGUACCUGACUAAGAAGCCCCGGCUAACUACGUGCCAGCAGCCGCGGUAAUACGUAGGGGGCAAGCGUUAUCCGGAUUUACUGGGUGUAAAGGGAGCGUAGACGGGAUGGCAAGUCUGAUGUGAAACCCCGGGGCUCAACCCCGGGCAUGCAUUGGAAACUGUUAACCUAGAGUGUCGGAGAGGUAAGUGGAAUUCCUAGUGUAGCGGUGAAAUGCGUAGAUAUUAGGAGGAACACCGGUGGCGAAGGCGGCUUACUGGACGAUAACUGACGUUGAGGCUCGAAAGCGUGGGGAGCAAACA
rnacentral:rRNA from 1 species